rnacentral:tRNA from 1 species
GCUCAGUUGGUUAAGUAUAUGACUCUUGAUCUCAGCUCAGGUCUUGAUCUCAGGGUUGUGAGUUCAAGCCUCACACUGGGUU